UCCAAAGGAUGUCAAAAAAAGUUUAGUAAACAACAGCGAUGAGCCGACUAAUUUUGUCGAACUUUAGGGACUAAAUAAUAACUUUCCCAAAAUACUCUCGGAAAAAUUCUGGAUGAUAGGUUUUGGCACGCAAAUGAAAUCAGCCCAGUAGCCGUCAGAUUAAAUGAUCGAUGCAGAUUUAACGGUGAAUGAUGGAUACUUACUAUUGCGUAUGUACGCAGCGAAUCAUCGCCUUUAUUCUUGCUCUCCUCAACUCCGCCUCAUAUGUUAAUGUUAGUCGCUCCAUACGGUACAUGCGAUAGAUCCUGAAAUUGGAGAGGCAGAGGGAAAGAUAGAGAGAGAAUGACCCGAGGAAAGCAGAAGAUCGAAGCCCAAAGGAAAAAUGCAGAGAGGAAUCAGAAGGCAAAGGGCUCUCAGCUUGAAGCCAGAGCUGUCGCUCUCAAAGUCAGCUGCCCCAUCUGCAAGGCACAGCUAGCAAAUCAUAAUCAACUUGGAGACCACUAUUCCUCCAAACAUCCAAAAGAAAAGCCUCCUGCUGAAUCAAGUUGAUUUGUUUUUCCCUUGUAAAAAGAGCAAAAUUAGAAAUGAAUAAUAAUUAAAAGGAGGAGAAGAAGCUUUCUGUGUGUGCUUAGAACGGUUAAUGUAUUUUAACUAGUGCAUGUGACUAUUUCAUUAUCUGAACCAAUGUAAUCGGUGUAUGCCUUUUAUGGCUUGGCUUUUUCUAAUAUAGGCUUUUGCAUAGUUUUGCCUGUC